AACCACAGGCUGUACCACCAAGCCUGGCCAAUUUUUUUGUACAGACACAGGCUGGUCUUGAACUCCUGGGCUCAAGCAAUCCUCCUGCCUUGGCCUCCCAAAGUGCUGGGAUUCCAGGCAUGAGCCGCUGCACCCGGCAAAAGGCCCUGCUUCUUUUUCUCUGGUUGUCUCUUCUUGAGAAAAUCAACACACUCUGUCCUGUUUUCCAGCUGUGGCCACCUGUCGCCCUGACGAAUUCCAGUGCUCUGAUGGAAACUGCAUCCAUGGCAGCCGGCAGUGUGACCGGGAAUAUGACUGCAAGGACAUGAGCGAUGAAGUUGGCUGCGUUAAUGUGACACUCUGCGAGGGACCCAACAAGUUCAAGUGUCACAGCGGCGAAUGCAUCACCCUGGACAAAGUCUGCAACAUGGCUAGAGACUGCCGGGACUGGUCAGAUGAACCCAUCAAAGAGUGCGG
rnacentral:lncRNA from 1 species